rnacentral:tmRNA from 1 species
GGGGGUGACUGGUUUCGACAGGGUUGUUCUGAGGUGGGCAGCAAGCCGUGGUCUCCUCGCCACGUUAAACAGGGGUACCGUCAAAAUGAAUUGACGACAACUCUUAUGUGGGCGACUACGCCCUCGCCGCAUAACAUAAGUCGGCGCGUCUAACCGGGGGUUUCCCUCGCUCCCGGGGCGACGUCAUUUUAGGGGGAUGCUCCUGCGGACGUAGCUGGUAUGCCGCAGGUCAAGACCGAACUAGCUAGGGCGCGAAGCGCCGGUCGCCACGUGCGACGCGCCCGAACCACAAGUGACGACUGAGCUUGGAGACACCUGCCAGGGGAUGGCUUUGGACCGGAGUUCGAUUCUCCGCACCUCCACCA